AAGUCGUAACAAGGUUUCCGUAGGUGAACCUGCGGAAGGAUCAUUAAUGAAUUGAAAGGGAGUUGAUGCUGGCCAGGUCUCUUGGCAUGUGCUCGCUUCCGACAAUCUUAUCCAUACACCUGUGCACACUGUGAGGGCGCGAAAGUGCCCUUACCCACUACAUACACCUAAUUUGGAAAUCGCACGUGACUUGCGUCGUAUGGCGCUUAAAUAAAUACAACUUUUAACAACGGAUCUCUUGGCUCUC
rnacentral:misc_RNA from 1 species